GUCAUGAAGAGUGAACAAUGAAGCCAUCGCUCCAUAGGGUUGUAAGGCUAAGCACUGCACAGAGGUUAGUCUGGAAGCUGUUUGACGAUCUCUGGGAGUUAUGUCUGAUUGCAUGAGGGUUGAGUGUCCUACCCCCAGGAAAAACAGCACGGGAGCAGGUCAGGGUUGCUCUGGGUAAAAACCUGUGAGCCUAAGAAUCAAUCCUGUACAUGGCUCCUAUCUCUGCACACUGGGGAUCAGACCUCUAUCUUCACCCACAGAGCUUGCCUCAAAAGAAUAUAAAAGGGGGAAUUGGCCCAUGGGGGGAAUUGUGGGAAGCCAUUCCGGACUCCCUGGUCAGCUGAAAAUCUGUGACAGGCAGUAAACAAGCCCAUGUUUGGUGGAUGGCCCGCCUUUAAUCCCUGAUUGGCUGAGCAAGCCUGCCU
rnacentral:lncRNA from 1 species